AAUGUUUGUUCUCCCUCCCUCUCCACCUUUUUCUCUUUUUGCAGGCAAAGGCAGCUCAAGCAUCUCAUCCGAUGUGAGUUCAAGUACAGAUCACACACCCACCAAAGCCCAGAAGAAUGCAGCUACCAGCGAAGCAGGUCAUUUCCCAGCAUGUGAGAUGAUGGGGAACGUUACACCUAUCAGCACUUUUGAGGACUGCUUUUGGCCUCUGGAAACUGGUCUCGUUUUGGCUGCAGCACGGCACAUCCCAGCUGGGGUUCGCCGAUCCUCCUCUUCUGGCAUGUGAGAGGAGAGACUGUGGUGCUGAAUUCCCAAAAUGUGAGCAAGAGCCAGACUCUGGAGAGGAGGCCCUCAACUGCAAGAGUCAUGCGGUGCGGUGACACAAGAGGAUGCUCUUGGAUCUCUGGAGCAUUUCAGCAAUCUAGCAAAUAAUGCAGCUCCACUUGGAGUCACACCAACCCAGUUGACGGAGUGGAACCCUCUGAAUCUGGCUCGGCGUUGAAGAAAAAGUAUCUUGUAACUUCGUCCUCAGGCAUGACAGGUUUGCAGGAUCCAGAAGAGCAGAAAUAAGCUGUUAAUCAAAGACAGCUGCUGUUUUGGUCCUUGAACUUAGACUGUGUUCUGCAAAUAGUAAGAAAUAUCCUGGAACAUUUCACCUUGUCUGUCCCUCUGAGUUUGCAUUAAAUUCUGCACGGUUAUUUCCUAUGAGAAUACUUGCUUUCUGUUCCUUAAUGUUUCUGAUUUUGGAGAACCUUUCUGCCCGCAUAUGUGCCGAAGUAAUGCCACUGUAGUUCCUUCAGCCUGGCAUGUAAUUUCUCAAGUUUGAGUCAUCUUAAGAGAAUGUCUAAACCUGUGAUCCUGAUAAAUUAAUGGAAGGAGGAGUAAGCACUGGGCAUACACAUCCAGCUUGUCUAGAAUCUCAGGUAAUGGGUGGAGGAAUUUUUCAGGAACUCGUACUGUUUUUCUUUCUGAAGAGCAGGAAAGGGUUGGUUUGUGCCCACUGAUGACAGUGUAUGUCAGAGAAUAGCCCAUCAGUACGUUACUGUGUAUGCAGGUUUUGUCUGCUUUUAGAACUACAAUAAUAUUUAGAGAAAGAGAAUGCAAUUGAUUUGCAUUUUAUUUCCCUUUAGAGAUACAAUAUUCAUUACAAGUCAUUAAAAUUUUUUAAAUAGCUGCUAUAGCUGGCUGAAAUGUACAUAGAAGGGUAACUUUAUGAACUUAUAAAAAUCUACAUGCUUAAUAGCCACCAUAAGUCUUUGCAGAAAAAUUAUACUAAAAUUUCCAUAGGAUAAGUAUUGAAUUUAGGAUGGGCUCUUGGGUGUAACUAUACCAAAAUAAGUCUAUUGCACUUUUUUUUUUUUAAACACUGUCAGAACUGGUGGUCAGACAAAAGUGCAGAAGAUUGUGUAAUAAAUAAAUUAUGCUUCCAAGAAAUGUCUUGCCC
rnacentral:lncRNA from 1 species